GACGAACGCUGGCGGCGUGCUUAACACAUGCAAGUCGAACGGAAAGGCCCUGCUUUUGUGGGGUGCUCGAGUGGCGAACGGGUGAGUAACACGUGAGUAACCUGCCCUUGACUUUGGGAUAACUUCAGGAAACUGGGGCUAAUACCGGAUAGGAGCUCCUGCUGCAUGGUGGGGGUUGGAAAGUUUCGGCGGUUGGGGCUGGACUCGCGGCUUAUCAGCUUGUUGGUGGGGUAGUGGCUUCCCAAGGCUUUGAAGGGUAGCCGGCCUGAGAGGGUGACCGGCCACAUUGGGACUGAGAUACGGCCCAGACUCCUACGGGAGGCAGAAGGGGGGAAUAUUGCACAAUGGGCGGAAGCCUGAUGCAGCAACGCCGCGUGCGGGAUGACGGCCUUCGGGUUGUAAACCGCUUUCGCCUGUGACGAAGCGUGAGUGACGGUAAUGGGUAAAGAAGCACCGGCUAACUACGUG
rnacentral:rRNA from 1 species